ACUAGUACUUGUACUACUACGAGUAGUACUGGUACUACUACGAGUAGUACGAGUACUACUAUUGGUAGUAGUAGUGUAUGUACUAGUCGUAGUACUAGUA
rnacentral:tRNA from 1 species